AUGCCUUUCGGUUAUAUAAACUCUGGUCAUGAAUUCGCUGUGUUCAUGCAUAAAGCUAUGCCUGACGCACUCGAGAGAGGAACGUUAUCAUAUGUCGACGAUGUCUUGCUGAAAAGCACUUCCUUUGAUAAGCAUAUCAUAGAGAUUAGACAUGUUCUCACUCAGUUAAGAGAGGCAGGGAUUAAACUGUCUUUACAAAAGGCGCAAUGGUGUCGCACCCAUGUCAAUUUCCUCGGACAUGAGGUAACUUCUGAAGGAUUAAAUCCCCAGAGGAAGAAGGUUGAAGCCGUACUAAAGGCUAAAACACCUUCAAACAUCAGGGAAUUAAGAUCGUUCCUUGGUAUGACUAACUAC